rnacentral:rRNA from 1 species
GUGCCAGCAGCCGCGGUAACACGUAGGAUCCGAGCGUUAUCCGAAUUUACUGGGCGUAAAGCGCGUGUAGGCGGUUUGGUAAGUUGGAUGUGAAAGCUCCCGGCUCAACUGGGAGAGGCCGUUCAAAACUACCAGACUUGAGGACGGUAGAGGGAAGUGGAAUUCCCGGUGUAGUAGUGAAAUGCGUAGAUAUCGGGAGGAACACCAGUGGCGAAAGCGGCUUCCUGGACCGUUUCUGACGCUCAGACGCGAAAGCUAGGGGAGCGAACGGGAUUAGAAACCCCAGUAGUCC